GGAGAGGUGGCCGAGUGGUUGAAGGCGGCGGUCUCGAAAAUCGCUAUACUGUGAAUGCAGUAUCGUGGGUUCGAAUCCCACCCUCUCCGCCA
rnacentral:tRNA from 1 species